rnacentral:rRNA from 1 species
UGGUGCAUGGUUGUCGUCAGCUCGUGUCGUGAGAUGUUGGGUUAAGUCCCGCAACGAGCGCAACCCUCGACCUUAGUUGCCAGCAUUCAGUUGGGCACUCUAAGGUGACUGCCGGCUAAAAGUCGGAGGAAGGUGGGGAUGACGUCAAAUCAUCAUGCCCCUUAUGACCUGGGCUACACACGUGCUACAAUGGGCGGUACAAAGGGUCGCGAACCCGCAAGGUGGAGCGAAUCCCAUAAAGCCGGUCUCAGUUCGGAUCGUGGGCUGCAACCCGCCCACGUGAAGCCGGAGUUGCUAGUAAUCGCGAAUCAGCAUGUCGCGGUGAAUGCGUUCCCGGGUCUU